UCCUCAUUAGUACAGUGGUGAGUAUCCCCGCCUGUCACGCGGGACACCGGGGUUCGAUUCCCCGGGGAG
rnacentral:tRNA from 1 species